rnacentral:misc_RNA from 1 species
UAGUUGAGUCAGUAUGGUGGCAGGUAAGAACUGCAGACUAUUAUCAGUUAUUGUUUAUCUUGAUGCUUCUUUUGAGAACAUAGAUCAUCUAAUCAGAGUAUCAGACAAACCCUCUCUGCAAAUUUUUGGUUGGUAAGAUAGACUCAUGGCUGUGACUUCAUUUGAUUGCAAUGUGCCAAUUGUUAAAUAAGAUACUCUCGUUGAACUAGAUCAUAUUUUUUUACUAUCAAUGUGGUUCUCAUAAUUAAUAUUAUGAAAAGGUUCAGUUAAGAUUAUUCUUUGUAAGUAAUCCUUGUGAAUAUCCUCACUGUGUUUUUCCAAUUUUCAGGCUUUGACUCCACAUAUGCAA